rnacentral:miRNA from 1 species
UUAAAACAUGGAAGUGGAGACAAUGUUUUGGCUCCUCUCUGAGCCUUUAUCAAGUCUCAUAAAGACUCAGAGAGGAGCGAAACAUUGUCUCCACUUCCUUGUUUCU